rnacentral:rRNA from 1 species
GACGAACCGUGCGAACGUUAUUCGGAAUCACUGGGCUUAAAGCGCGUGUAGGCGGAUGGGGACGUCGGUCGCUGAAAGCCCCCGGCUCAACCGGGGAACGGGCGCCGAAACGCCCCGUCUCGAGGGACGGAGGGGGACCUGGAACUUCCGGUGGAGCGGUGAAAUGCGUUGAGAUCGGAAGGAACGCCCGUGGCGAAGGCGGCGACCUGGGUAGAUACUGACGCUGAGGCGCGAAAGCGUGGGGAGCGAACGGG